rnacentral:rRNA from 1 species
GUGGGGAAUAUUGCACAAUGGGCGAAAGCCUGAUGCAGCAACGCCGCGUGAGGGACGACGGCCUUCGGGUUGUAAACCUCUUUUAGUAGGGAAGAAGCGAAAGAGACGGUACCUGCAGAAAAAGCACCGGCUAACUACGUGCCAGCAGCCGCGGUAAUACGUAGGGUGCAAGCGUUAUCCGGAAUUAUUGGGCGUAAAGAGCUCGUAGGCGGUCUGUCGCGUCUGCUGUGAAAACUGGAGGCUCAACCUCCAGCCUGCAGUGGGUACGGGCAGACUAGAGUGCGGUAGGGGAGAUUGGAAUUCCUGGUGUAGCGGUGGAAUGCGCAGAUAUCAGGAGGAACACCGAUGGCGAAGGCAGAUCUCUGGGCCGUAACUGACGCUGAGGAGCGAAAGCGUGGGGAGCGAACAGGAUUAGAAACCCUUGUAGUCC